GAAGAGGGAGGAGGCCUGCCUUGCAGGCUGAAGGUAGCAACUGCCUCAGACAGCGCAGUGCUGGAGGCAGAGACCCAGGGAGCUAAAGGCAGCUCCUGGCGGGCUGUAGGGAUCUGUAGGCUGAGGCAAGGGCAAACAGGGUGUGGGGGGGAUGCAGGGAAGUGGCCCAGGGAAAGAUACUGAAAGGUUGGAGGAGAUGCAGCUUGUGGGCUGGGACCUGGAAUAGUGGAUGGGCCUGGGUUCUGCCCUUCCCCCACCUUGCCACUGAGGAAGUGGCCAGACAAUUGGCUGCAGAAGCCACUGAGGGAAGUGGCUGGACAGCAGAUGGUGAUACUGUCCUCUGGAAGGGGGGAGCACAGAGUGCGGCACUGCCGGAGGGGCUGUAUCAUGAAGAGGACACUGUGGCCCUGGGAGUGAUGUGGGUCCCUGGAGCAGAAGUGACUGGGGCAAGACACCACCAGAAGAGGGCACACCGGCUAGCAGAGCUGUUCCUUGGGAUGUCCAGCUUGGGCUGUCACAGUGCAAACAGACAGCAUCCAUGAGAUGCUGGUGGACAUCCUGGCGGCAAUUUCUGAUCCACCAAAGGUGCCUGAUGGAGGAGGAUGACGAUACAGAUGUAGAGGAAUAGAACUGCCUGAUGCUGCUUGUGACUCUUGGUGUGGUUGCUGAUGCCCUCUACAUAGACUGGCACUUCUGGAGCAGGGCCACAAGCACAACAGACUGGUGGGAUCACAUCAUAUGGACCUGAGGUGACCAGAACUUUCACAUGAAGAAAGCUACAUUUCUGGAGCAUUGUGAGCAGCUUCCCCCACCCUCCAGAUUGGGGGACACUCAUGACGGCAGCCAUACUGGUUCAGAAGCAGGUUGCUAUAACAGUCUGGAACCUGGCUAUCCCAGACUGCUACAAGUCCAUUGCUAACCAGUUCAGAACUGGAAAAUCACCCACAUGUAAAGUGGUUGCCUCCAAAAGUUUUGCAAUCAGUCAUGUAUUUUACCCAAUAGUGGUGGUCAUAAACAAUAUCCCUGAAGUAACUGCUGAUUUUUGAGAGAAUGGGGUUUCCAAAUUUCUCCAUUGACUCAGGUGCCCACAUUUUGUCCUCCUCAAGGAGCACGUGGGUACAUAAACUGCAAAGGGUACUACCCCAUUGUUAUACAAGCCCUUUUGGACCACAGAGGCUGACUUACAGAUGCCAAUGUGGACUGCACUGGAAAAGUUCAUGAUGCCAGGGUUUCCAACAAUUGGGAGUCUACAUUCAUGGACAGCCUGGGACACUAUUUCCACCAAUGACGUUGUAAUAAAUGGAGUUACUGUCCCCACUUUUGUCCUGGGUGACCCAUGUACCCUCUUUUGCCUGGGCUUACAAAACCAUAAUGAUUUCAGAGGCCUUGGCCAAAGAGGUUCAAAGUCACACUCUCAGCAGGUGCAGAACAGUUGAAUGUGCAUUUGGCAGACUAAAAUCCUGCUGACGCUGUCUACAGCCCCUUUGGAUGCCCAUGUCCUCAAUGCUGUCUUCAUAAUUGUGCUUUGCUGUGCUCUUGACACAGGUGAGCCAUUUGCCCUUGAAUGGAGCUAUGACAGUCAUGGAUUGUUCCGGUACACUCAACCGGAAAGUGUACCUACCACAGCUGAGGCAGGGUGCAUUUGGGCAACACAAGUCAGGGAUGCUUUGCAUAGGCCAUUGGAAGAGAGAAUAGUACAUUUUAUGAAUGUGCUUGUACAGUCUUCACAGUAAAUGAGGAACUGUUGUCAUGCAAUGAAAUGUGGGUGUGGGAAGUGGUGGAUUGCCAUGCAUUGCAGUUAUGAAUGACAUGAGCGCUUAUGAACAGGCAAGAAUUGUGGAUUUACGGUAUGGCUUUAUGUAGAGAAAUGUAUUGGGGAAAUGUUUGCACAUAGCUUCCCAGUUGUUCCUUCUGUUUGCCUUUAUUAUUUGAAACACGUAUUAUAGGAUGUGAUGCAGUGAUGACAAUAAAAUUUCUUUUUUUUUUUUU